GUGGGGAAUCUUGCACAAUGGGGGAAACCCUGAUGCAGCGACGCCGCGUGAGCGAUGAAGCCCUUCGGGGUGUAAAGCUCUUUCGACGGGAACGAUAAUGACGGUACCCGGAGAAGAAGCUGCGGCUAACUACGUGCCAGCAGCCGCGGUAAUACGUAGGCAGCAAGCGUUGUUCGGAGUUACUGGGCGUAAAGAGUACGUAGGCGGUUUGCUAAGUCUGGUGUGAAAUCUCCUGGCUUAACUGGGAGGGUGCGCUAGAUACUGGCAGGCUUGAGUAUGGGAGAGGAGAGUGGAAUUCCUGGUGUAGCGGUGAAAUGCGUAGAUAUCAGGAGGAACGCCGGUGGUGUAGACGGCUCUCUGGACCAUUACUGACGCUGAGGUACGAAAGCGUGGGUAGCAAACAGGAUUAGAAACCCGAGUAGUCC
rnacentral:rRNA from 1 species